UAAGGAAUAUUGGACAAUGGUCGCAAGACUGAUCCAGCCAUGCCGCGUGAAGGAUGAAUGCCCUAUGGGUUGUAAACUUCUUUUAAACGGGAAAAAACCCCUCUACGUGUAGAGGGCUGAUGGUACCGUAAGAAUAAGGAUCGGCUAACUUCGUGCCAGCAGCCGCGGUAAUACGAAGGAUUCGAGCGUUAUCCGGAUUUAUUGGGUUUAAAGGGUGCGUAGGUGGACUAAUAAGUCAGUGGUGAAAGCCCGCAGCUUAACUGCGGAACUGCCAUUGAUACUGCUAGUCUUGAGUACAGUUGAGGUGGGCGGAAUGUGUCAUGUAGCGGUGAAAUGCUUAGAUAUGACACAGAACACCGAUUGCGAAGGCAGCUCACUAAGCUGUAACUGACACCGAGGCACGAAAGCGUGGGGAGCAAACAG
rnacentral:rRNA from 1 species